rnacentral:misc_RNA from 1 species
GAAAUGCGAUAAGUAGUGUGAAUUGCAGAAUUCAGUGAAUCAUCGAAUCUUUGAACGCACAUUGCGCCCCUUGGUAUUCCAUGGGGCAUGCCUGUUCGAGCGUCAUCGACACCCUCAAGCUCUGCUUGGUGUUGGGCCGUUGUCGUUUCCGCGCCCCCCCGGGCGACACUGCGACACCCCUCAAAGUCAUUGGCGGCCUUUCUGCCCCGGCUCCCCGCGCAGCAGUUCGCGCUUCGGAGGCCCCUCUGGGCAGGCUGGCAUCCAUCAAGCUAACCCCUUCGCGCUUGACCUCGGAUCAGGUAGGGACACCCGCUGAACUUAA